UAUAAAAUAUUUUAUUUGUAAAAGGUUUUUAAAAGGAAUUAAAUGUUUGAGUAAUUAAUUAGAAAAAAUUUUUAAAGUUAUAGAUUAAUAGUACAGUGAAGGAAUAAUAUAAAAUUGGUAAAAGAAAGUUUUAUUUACGGUACCUUUUGUAUCAGGGUUUAUUAAAAAUUAGUUUAGAUUUUAAGUUUUCUCGAAUUUAUAAGAGCUAAGAAUUUAUAUAUUUUAAUGUUGAACAAUUAUUUAAAAUAUUUUCUUUGAUAUUAGACGUUAGUCGGUUUUAAAUAUAUCUAGUUUUUUAAGAAAUUAAUUUAAUUAAGCUGAUUUCUAGAGGUUUUGAAUAUCAAAUUUAUCAAGAAAUUAAGUAAUAUUUAAGGGGAUAAGCUUUUAAGUAGAUUUUUAAAAAUAUAGGUUUAUCAAAGUUGAGUAGGAAUAGAAGUUUUCAUUUUUUGUAGUGUUUUAUAUCAAGAUUUUGGAAUAAGUAAUUUAUUGGUUUUUAGAUUUUUUAUUAGAAUAUUAAAUUUAAUUGAAGUUUUUAAGCAAUAAUGAUAAAAUAAGUAUAAUUUAAUGUUUAAGAAUUUAAUUUAUGAGAGUUUUAAUUAAGAAACUCGGCAAAUAUAUUUUCUGCCUGUUUAUUAAAAACAUGGCCUUUUGGCAAUAAUUUAAGGUCCGGCCUGCCCAAUGAUUAAUAUUAAAUGGCCGCGGUACUUUGACCGUGCAAAGGUAGCAUAAUCAUUAGUUUUUUAAUUGAAAGCUUGAAUGAACGGUUAAACAAGAAAAUUACUGUCUCAAUUAAAUGGUUUUAGAAUUUUAUUUUUUAGUAAGAAAGCUUAAAUAUUUUUAAGGGACGAGAAGACCCUAUAGAAUUUUAUAAGUUUAAGAAGGUUGUAUUUUUGGUUUAAUUAUUAUAGCUUAAUUAAUCUUAUUUUGUUGGGGUGAUGGAAAAAUUUGAUAAACUUUUUUUAAAAUUUUGUACUUAUGCGUAUUUUUGUGAUCCGUUUUUUACGAUUAAAAGAAAAAAUUACCUUAGGGAUAACAGCGUAAUUAGUUUGGAGAGUUCUUAUUGAUAAAUUAGUUUGCGACCUCGAUGUUGGAUUAAAAUAAACUUUUGGUGUAGGGGCUUUAAAGUUAAGUCUGUUCGACUUUUAAAAUUUUACAUGAUCUGAGUUUAAACCGGCGUGAGCCAGGUUGGUUUCUAUCUUUAAAUAAAUUUAAUAUUUUAGUACGAAAGGACCAAGUAUUAAUUUAAUAAAUUAUUUUUUGAAUAUAAUU
rnacentral:rRNA from 1 species